AUGGAGCCGACCUUGAAAUACCACCCUUUAAUGUUUGAUGUUCUAACGUUGACCCGUAAUCCGGGUUGCGGACAGUGUCUGGUGGGUAGUUUGACUGGGGCGGUCUCCUCCUAAAGAGUAACGGAGGAGCACGAAGGUUGGCUAAUCCUGGUCGGACAUCAGGAGGUUAGUGCAAUGGCAUAAGCCAGCUUGACUGCGAGCGUGACGGCGCGAGCAGGUGCGAAAGCAGGUCAUAGUGAUCCGGUGGUUCUGAAUGGAAGGGCCAUCGCUCAACGGAUAAAAGGUACUCCGGGGAUAACAGGCUGAUACCGCCCAAGAGUUCAUAUCGACGGCGGUGUUUGGCACCUCGAUGUCGGCUCAUCACAUCCUGGGGCUGAAGUAGGUCCCAAGGGUAUGGCUGUUCGCCAUUUAAAGUGGUACGCGAGCUGGGUUUAGAACGUCGUGAGACAGUUCGGUCCCUAUCUGCCGU
rnacentral:rRNA from 1 species